AUGGGAGUUACUGCAGUGCUUCUUGACACGGGGAAUUUUGUCGUCCACUUCGAAGAUAUUGCUGCUGCAACGGAUAAUUUCUCUGAAUUUAACCAAAUUGGAAGCGGAGGUUUUGGUAAAGUUUACAAGGGAAUGUUGCAAGGUGACAAAGAAGUUGCUAUCAAAAGGCUUAGUAAGGGCUCUGCCCAAGGGAUAGAGGAGUUCAAAAAUGAAACAAUUCUGAUUGCAAAAUUGCAACACAGAAAUCUUGUAAGACUUCUUGGUUGCUGUAUUUAUGGAGAUGAGAGGUUACUUAUCUAUGAAUACUUACCUAACAAAAGCUUGGACACAUUCCUUUUUGACGAUACAAGACAAUAUGAGCUUGAUUGGUCCAUACGCUUCAAAAUAAUUAAAGGGGUAGCGAGAGGGCUUCUUUACCUCCACCAAGAUCCAAGAUUAACUAUAAUUCACAGAGAUCUCAAACCAAGCAACAUCUUGAUGGAUUCUGAAAUGACUCCCAAAAUAUCAGACUUCGGUAUGGCGAGGAUCUUUGGUGGAAACAAACAAGAGGCAAGCACUACCCAGGUUGUGGGAACAUAUGGUUACAUGUCUCCUGAAUAUGUGAUGGGAGGUGCUUUUUCUGUAAAAUUGGACACCUAUAGCUUCGGUGUUCUUCUCUUGGAGAUUGUAAGUGGCUUGAAGAUCACCUCGACGCAACUCGUAAUGAACUUUGCAUGGAGACUGUGGGAGGAUGGAAAAGCAACAGAACUGGUGCACUCUUCGGUUAUUGAGAGUUGUUCACUUGAUGAAGUUCUACGGUGUAUCCAUGUCGGACUCCUGUGCGUUCAAGACUGUCCGAAUGAUAGGCCACUCAUGGCAUCAGUUACUUUUAUGUUGGAGAAUGGAAGUGCAUUGCUCCCAGCACCAAAGCAGCCUGCAUAUUUUCCUCUACGAAGUCUCGAACCUGGAAAAAUAAGGGGAAAUUCUAUGAAUGUAGUGAGUAUCACAACACUUGAGGGGCGGUAG
rnacentral:rRNA from 1 species